rnacentral:rRNA from 1 species
GAUGAACGCUAGCGGCAGGCUUAAUACAUGCAAGUCGAGGGGCAGCAGGGGUGUAGCAAUACACUCGCUGGCGACCGGCAAACGGGUGCGGAACACGUACGCAACCUACCCAAAACUGAUGAGUAGCCCUCCGAAAGGAGGAUUAAUACAUCGUAACAUAAUGAAGUGGCAUCACUUUAUUAUUAUAGCUCCGGCGGUUUUGGAUGGGCGUGCGCCUGAUUAGAUAGUUGGCGGGGUAACGGCCCACCAAGUCUACGAUCAGUAACUGGUGUGAGAGCACGACCAGUCACACGGGCACUGAGACACGGGCCCGACUCCUACGGGAGGCAGCAGUAAGGAAUAUUGGUCAAUGGACGCAAGUCUGAACCAGCCAUGCCGCGUGAAGGAUGAAGGUCCUCUGGAUUGUAAACUUCUUUUAUAUGGGACAAACCCUCGAAUUCUUUCGGGAUUGACGGUACCAUAGGAAUAAGCACGGCUAACUCCGUGCCAGCCG